rnacentral:misc_RNA from 1 species
UUAAGUUCAGCGGGUAGUCUCACCCGAUUUGAGGUCAAGGUUUUCUUUUCGUGGGUCCAGCCUCCCGCCGAUGUAGACGGCGGUGACCAGAGCACCAUCAUUGUCAAUGAGACGGUUAGGAGCAGGCAUCCAAAGGAACAGAGCUAAACCCAAAACGUAGAAACAUUUUAUCACGUCAAGGAUCAGCAAAGCGGACCCCA